rnacentral:rRNA from 1 species
GAUGAACGCUGGCGGCGUGCUUAACACAUGCAAGUCGAACGGUGAAAGAGAGCUUGCUCUCUGGAUCAGUGGCGAACGGGUGAGUAACACGUGAGCAAUCUGCCCCUGACUCUGGGAUAAGCGCUGGAAACGGCGUCUAAUACCGGAUACGAGCUGCGAAGGCAUCUUCAGCAGCUGGAAAGAACUUCGGUCAGGGAUGAGCUCGCGGCCUAUCAGCUAGUUGGUGAGGUAACGGCUCACCAAGGCGUCGACGGGUAGCCGGCCUGAGAGGGUGACCGGCCACACUGGGACUGAGACACGGCCCAGACUCCUACGGGAGGCAGCAGUGGGGAAUAUUGCACAAUGGGCGCAAGCCUGAUGCAGCAACGCCGCGUGAGGGACGACGGCCUUCGGGUUGUAAACCUCUUUUAGCAGGGAAGAAGCGAAAGUGACGGUACCUGCAGAAAAAGCACCGGCUAACUACGUG